AGCUACUCACUUGCAUGGGAAGUCUUUUUAAUUCCUCCGUGACCUUACGGAAUGGUAGUUAAUCUGGUUAGAUUUGGCAUUUUCACCAGGAAACUCUCUGGAAAGACCAAACUAUUUUUUUGAUUUCUCCUGGGCCAGGAAGUGCUACUGAGUCUGCAGAAAUCCCAACAGUAUCAGUAAAACUGGUCAGUAUCAAUCUAACCUGUGACCAGACCAUGUGAAUGUAACACCAUCUUGUUAAUAAGGUUUGUGGGCUUAAUUGAACUGAAAAUCAUUCCCUUUUCUAUUUCAGGAUGAGAAAUGUGAUGCAAAGGCUGAGAAGAAGCUAUGGACAUCUUUCCUUUGGCAAAGAACACGCCAUGAAGAUACCUCUACAAGUCUUUAAUGUUGCCACUAACAUUACAAAGAUAACUAAAGGAUCUGUGACAACAUUUUGUAGUAAUUUUCUGAAUAUCUCAGCGAUGAGACUUGGGGAAAGCAAACUUGAUAAACAGUGAAGCUGAGAAGGGCAAACAGCACAGGAUCCAAGGUCAGGUGUGGUCCAACAGUUGUCACAGAAAGUCUUUUCCUGUCUUCAUCAGGAUAUAUGAGCUGGAAAAUUUCAUGGUCAUGGAUCAACUGGUACUUCUGUGAAAAAUACCAUUUAAAACUUGGCAGAUGUUUAAAAAUGAUGAUUCUUUUAAACUCCCAUUCCAGACAAUGUCAUUUAUAAAACAAUUUGUAAUUCAACUAGUAGCAUUUUGGAAAGAUGUCUACACCAGGGCUUCAGAAUUUCUCCACAUUUGGUUGAGUUAGACCUCAGAUUCUUGCAUAGCCCGUUGGCCAUUUUAACUGAAGCAGCACCUCCCCAAAGGCAAGUACUGGUUGUUUUAGUCAAAGAGGAUGAGCCCACAUACAACAAUUACUUUGAAAACAUCUUGAUGGAUUUCAGGAAAAUAUUUGGAAAUCAUCUAGUGGAGAAUUUUACUGUUUUCAUAUUAACAUUUUACCCCUUGUUUUUUUUCCCCUCCCUG
rnacentral:lncRNA from 1 species